rnacentral:lncRNA from 1 species
ACUGGUGGGUCGGGAGGGGCCGGUGUCUCCAGUAUGGGUCUCGGGUUCUCGGGCCGAACAGGGUUUCAAAGGAUGAUUACAGGCAAGAACAUUAUCUGUGGAAAAUGAGGACAACAUUCUCGAACGAGGGAUACACAUACAAAGACAAAGAAUGAAACUUUGGUGUUCAGAAAACUAGAAGUAGUCUGGAGAAUAGAAAGGAAUUAGUUGACCAGGAUUGAGACCAUCAAUUGAAAGAAUGACUUUAGCAAGCCAUGGAGUGCAAACAUAUACGUUAUUUCUGUUUUUUAUGUAUUUCACAGCGUUGUUACGAGUACUAAAUGGGACUGUAUAACUAAAGCUGCUUUAUCAAGCAGAAAAGGACUAUACAAAUAUUUUAGAAUAUUUUAGCUGCACCUACAUCUAAUGUCAGCUCACGGAGCUAUUAUUCUCUUAAAACCCACGUUCUCUGAAAUAUAUAUAAUUUUCUGAAGUGUGUGUGUGUUUCUGGGUCAUCCAUAUUUUUUCCUUUUUUUUUUAAUUUGAGACAGAGUCUCGCUGUGUCGCCAGGCUGGAGUGCAGUGGCGCGAUCUCGGCUCAGUGCAACCUCUGGGUCCCUGGUUCAAGAGAUUCUCUUGUCUCACACUCCCGAAUAGCUGGGAUGACAAGCACGCGCCACCAUGCCCAGCUAAUUUUUGUAUUUUUACUAGAGACAGGGUUUCACCAUGUUGGCCAGGAUGGUCUCGAUCUCCUGACCUCAUAAUCCGCCCGCCUCGGCCUCCUAAAGUGCUGGGAUUACAGGCGUGAGCCACCGCGCCCAGCCAUAUUUUUUCAAUUAAUAAUUAACACUUAAAAUGUUUUAGGAGCUGAGGACAGAGCAUUUGAACAAAUAAAAUCCGUGUACACAUGGAACUUUCUACAGACAAUGAAUGAAGACUAUUCUCAUGGGCAUAAGUACUCUAACGAAAAAUAUUUCAGAGUAAGGGAUUAAAGAGUGAUUAGGAGUUAGGGAAGGUGAUGAUGUGACCUUUGAGCACAACUUGUUCUUCAAAAAAAUAGGCUCUUACAUGUUGUGUUCUCCAGCUUGAUUUUUUCAUUCCUCAGUGUACUUAUGAAAAUGUUUUCCCGGCCAGGCGCAGUGGCUCACGCCUGUAAUCCCAGCACUUUCGGAGGCCGAGAAGGGCGGAUCACCUGAGGUUGGGAGUUCAAGGCCAGCUUGACCAACAUGGAGAAACCCCAUCUCUACUAAAAAUACAAAAAAAAUUAGCCGGGCGUGGUGGUGCAUUCAUGUAAUCCCAGCUACUCGGGAGGCUGAGGCAAGAGAUUCGCUUGAACUUGGGAAGCAGAGGUUGCAGUGAGCCGAGAUCGCGCCAUUGCACUCCAGCCUGGGCAACAAGAGUGAAACUCCAUCUCAAAAACAAAAAAAGAAAAGAAAAUAUUUUCCCAUGUCUGCACAUACAGAUCUAAUUCAUUCUUUUUAUACAUUAUGUUAUGGAUUACAUGGAUAUUCCCCAAGUAUCCAGCCAGUACCCUAUUGCUGAACAAUUAGAUCAUUUACCACAACAACAGAAAGAGUAAAUCCCCCGUGUUGCUAUAAGAUGACAUCCUAGUAGGAUUGCUGGGUCAAAGGACAUGCACCCUGUUUUUCUUUUUUUUGAGACGGAGUCUACCUCUAUUGCCCAGGCUGGAGUGCAGUGACACUAUCUUGGCUCACUGCACCCUCCGCCUCC